AUUGAACGCUGGCGGCAGGCCUAACACAUGCAAGUCGAACGAGUGGCGGACGGGUGAGUAAUGUCUGGGAACCUGCCUGAUGGAGGGGGAUAACUACUGGAAACGGUAGCUAAUACCGAAUACCCUCGGAGGUGCCCAGAUGGGAUUAGCUAGUAGGUGGGGUAAAGGCUCACCUAGGCGACGAUCCCUAGCUGGUCUGAGAGGAUGACCAGCCACACUGGAACUGCGACACGGUCCAGACUCCUCCGGAGGGAAGAAGUGGGGAAUAUUGCACAAUGGGCGCAAGCCUGAUGCAGCAAUGCCGCGUGUAUGAAGAAGGCCUUCGGGUUGAAAAGUACUUUCAGCGGGGAGGCGUUACCCGCAGAAGAAGCACCGGCUAACUCCGUGCCAGCAGCCGCGGUAAUAC
rnacentral:rRNA from 1 species